rnacentral:rRNA from 1 species
GACGAACGCUGGCGGCGUGCUUAACACAUGCAAGUCGAACGCUGAAGCCCUUUCGGGGGUGGAUGAGUGGCGAACGGGUGAGUAACACGUGGGUAAUCUGCCCUGUACUUCGGGAUAAGCCUUGGAAACGGGGUCUAAUACCGGAUAGGACCUGUCCUCGCAUGGGGGUGGGUGGAAAGUUCCGGCGGUAUGGGAUGAGCCCGACGGCCUAUCGGCUUGUUGGUGGGGUGAUGGGCUACCAAGGCGACGACGGGUAGCCGGCCUGAGAGGGUGGCCGGUCACACUGGGACUGAGAAACGGCCCAGACGCCUACGGGAGGCGGCAGUGGGGAAUCUUGCGCAAUGGGCGAAAUCCUGACGCAGGAACGCCGCGUGGGGGAUGACGGCCUUCGGGUUGUAAACCUCUUUCGGUAUCGACGAAGGGGGCCUUGUUGGGGCUCUGACGGUAGGUGCAGAAGAAGCACCGGCUAACUACGUGCCAGCCGCCGCCGUAA